rnacentral:rRNA from 1 species
UACAGAGGGGGCAAGCGUUGUUCGGAAUUACUGGGCGUAAAGGGCGCGUAGGCGGCCCGCUAAGUCGAACGUGAAAUCCCCGGGCUCAACCCGGGAACUGCGUCCGAUACUGGCAGGCUUGAAUCCGGGAGAGGGAUGCGGAAUUCCAGGUGUAGCGGUGAAAUGCGUAGAGAUGUGGAGGAACACCAGUGGCGAAGGCGACUCUCUGGUCUGUAACUGACGCUGAGGCGCGAAAGCGUGGGGAGCAAACAGG